rnacentral:ncRNA from 1 species
UAAAAAAGUUAUGUUUUAUAAAAUUUAUUAUAAAUUUAUUUUACAUAUAAAUUUUAGUAUAUAAUUUUAAUUAUUUUAAUAAUAAUUAAAAUUAAUUUAUAGUAAUUAAAAUUAAAAAUUUAAGAAAUUAAGAUUUAGUAAUAUAAAAAUUAAUAACUAAUUUUGUGCCAGCAGUUGCGGUUAUACAAAAAUUAAAUUAAAUUAUUUCAGUAUAUAAUAAAUAAAAUAAAAUAAAAUAAAUAUUAAAUUAUUGGGUGAAAUUUUAAUUUAAUUAAAUUUUAAAUUAAUUUUAUGAUUUAAUAAAUUUUAUAAUAAACUAGGAUUAGAUACCCUAUUAUUAAAAAUUUAAUUUAUAAUACUAAAAUAGUAGAUAAAAAAUAUUGAAACUUAAAUAAUAUGGCGGUAUUUUAGUUCAUUUAGAGGAAUCUGUCUAAUAAUUGAUAAUCCACGAAUAAAUUUACUUAAUUUAAAAUUUUAUAUAUCGUUGUUAAAAAAAUAUUUUAUAAUAAAAAUAAUAUUUAAAAAUUAAAAUAAAAAAUUAAUUCAGAUCAAGAUGUAGAAUAUAAUUAAGAAUAUGAUGGAUUACAAUAAAAUAAUUUAAUAUGAAUAAUUUAAUUUUAAAAUUAAUUUGAAAGUGGAUUUAAAUGUAAUUUUAAUUAAUUUAUUAAAAUGAUUAAAAAUUGAAAUAUGUACAUAUUGCCCGUCACUUUCAUUUGAAAAUUGGAAUAAGUCGUAACAAAGUAGAGGUACUGGAAAGUGUUUCUAGAAUGAA